UAUAGGUGGGAGGCGUUGAGAAUACUCUUGCGGGAGUAUUGGAGCUAUCAGUGAGAUACCACUCUUCUAAUGUUAGAUUUCUAACUUUGAACCAUUAUCUGGUCAAAGAACAGUUUCAGGCGGGCAGUUUGACUGGGGCGGUCGCCUCCCAAAUGGUAACGGAGGCGUACAAAGGUUUCCUCUGAACGGGUAGAAAUCGUAUCUAGAGUGUAAAGGCAUAAGGAAGCUUGACUGUGAGACCUACAAGUCGAACAGGGACGAAAGUCGGUCUUAGUGAUCUGACGGUACUGAGUGGAAAGGCCGUCACUCAACGGAUAAAAGUUACUCUAGGGAUAAC
rnacentral:rRNA from 1 species